rnacentral:lncRNA from 1 species
AGCCAGACCAAGCUCUAUCUUUCUGCAUAUGUGAAAAUACAUUUAGAAAAACUAAGAGUACAAGGAAGAAGAACUUACUCUGAGAUGCUGCUGUGAAUGACAUGCCAUUGAAGACCUCCAAGCAUUUUAUCUUAAUUGAUACAGCAAGGUGGGAGCCAGCAGCAGUUCAGCCAUGUGGAGCCACACAACAGAACCACCGUGGGAAAGAAAUGAAGAGGGUUUCUAGAGAUGAUUGAAACUGCGAGGGAGGUUGGACAAGCAGAAGGUGUGUGCUCUCCCAAACAUUUGGUGCCAGGGAACUGUCCCUCUUUGUGACAUGACACAGGAUGGGACAUCUCUGGUGACAUGGAAGUGGCAUCCCUUACCAUACUGCCUCGGGCCCAGCAUUGGCAUAGUGCUGCAGUCCAUCACUGCUGCAGACAGGGAGAAAAGGCUUCCCCUAUAUUAAAAGCAAAAUUUGUUUAAACGCACUGUAUUUUCUUAAUGAUUUUUCUAUCCAAAUGCUUUAUGUUAAAUCUUAGAAAGACCUUAUUUCCCCUUCUUUAUGAUCUCUUUCUCCUCAAAGCCACCUACCCCAGGUAGUCUCCUCUUCCACACUGUCUCUCUUUCUCUGUAGAUGUUCCUGCAACAGCCUUCAGUAUAUUGAACACAAAGAGUAUGAAUGUGGAGGAUGAGUAAAUUAACUCCUGUUUCUUUGAGAGAGAAUAUGUCGCUGGAGAAGGGGCAGCCCAAUUGGUGUGGUAUAGCAUCUCUUGGACUGGUGGUGGGGAAUAGAAUAAGCAGUAAGAAGUC